GUCUUGGUGAUUCAAACAAUUGAGUUGCAAACAAAAAUCUAUUAUUAAACCUGCUUUAAUUAUUACCAAUGCAUUGCAAAAUGCAUGAUCAUUUAGAAACCAAAGUAAAGACACCUGUAUUUCUAUAGCACUUUUAACAGACAGUUUUAGAGUAUUAAAAAGGAAAAACAGUGUGUGAUAAUGCAAACAGUAAACAUUCAAUUUUCAGUUUAAGUCAGUUCAUUAUUGAUUUAGUGAUGUCAUCAUCCAGCUCAGUUCAGUUCGUUUAGUAUCUGUGCAAUCAAGUUGACAAGCAGUUUAAUUCUAAGCGGCAGCAAAGUCAGAUUGUGCAGAGGACUCGACUGGUUCCCGUGGUCUUGUGCCGAUGGCCGUCUAGAAUGAACUAAUAUUCAUGCAUCAAGAGACAUUUAAAAUGAGGCUGUUUUUGUAAAAGAGCUGGACGCUGGACGGGUCAGAGGUCACCGAGGGGGUUCAGACCAGCGCAGAGAGCGAGCGGGACGGACGCUACAGCCGCAGCAGCGUCCUGAGCCUCAGCAAAGCACGCUGGGAAGCCGGCGAGCGCUUCGUCUGCAGAGUAACACAUGACGGAGCUGAUCACGAGACCUCGUUCCUCAAGAGCUCCGAGUGCUGAUGUUUCUCCAGUGAAGAGCAGCAGGAUUCACAGCAGUCUCCUGAUUUACAGCUCAAUACUCAAGUAGUCUUUCAAUGUGCUGCCAUUGCUGUUCAUUCAAUAAAGCUUCUGAACGCCU